CGUAGGGUGCGAGCGUUAAUCGGAAUUACUGGGCAUAAAGCGUGCGCAGGCGGUUUAGUAAGACAGGCGUGAAAUCCCCGGGCUCAACCUGGGAACUGCGCUUGUGACUGCUAAGCUAGAGUACGGCAGAGGGGGGUGGAAUUCCACGUGUAGCAGUGAAAUGCGUAGAGAUGUGGAGGAACACCAAUGGCGAAGGCAGCCCCCUGGGUCGAUACUGACGCUCAUGCACGAAAGCGUGGGUAGCAAACAGGAUUAGAUACCCUGGUAGUCCACGCCCUAAACGAUGUCAACUAGGUGUUGGGAGGGUAAAACCUUUUAGUACCGGAGCUAACGCGUGAAGUUGACCGCCUGGGGAGUACGGCCGCAAGGUUA
rnacentral:rRNA from 1 species